CAGCAGCCACGGGAAUACGGAGGGUGCAAGCGUUAUCCGGAUUUAUUGGGUUUAAAGGGUCCGUAGGCGGACUUAUAAGUCAGUGGUGAAAGCCUGUCGCUUAACGAUAGAACUGCCAUUGAUACUGUAAGUCUUGAGUAUAUUUGAGGUAGCUGGAAUAAGUAGUGUAGCGGUGAAAUGCAUAGAUAUUACUUAGAACACCAAUUGCGAAGGCAGGUUACCAAGAUAUAACUGACGCUGAGGGACGAAAGCGUGGGUAGCGAACAGGAUUAGAGACCCCUGUAGUCCCUGUCUCUUAUAA
rnacentral:rRNA from 1 species